GGCCCUCUGGCGCAAUGGUAGCGCGUUCGACUCCAGAUCGAAAGGUUAUCCGUUCAAAUCGGGUGGGGGUCA